GUGAUUUCUUAAAACAAAAAGGGAUUUUGGCUCAACGACCAUGCCCUUAUACUCCUCAACAAAAAGGGGUGGCAGAACGGAAAAACUGUCAUCUAUUGGAUGUUGCUCGUACAUUAUUACUUGAUUCCUAUGCUCCUUCAAAAUUCUGGGUUGAAGCAGUGUCCAUUGUAGUUUAUUUAAUCAAUAGAUUGCCUUCCCAAGUUUUACACUUUGAAUCUUCGUAUUAUUGCCUUCAUAAUCAACAUCCUACUUAUCAUGACUUGCAUACUUUUGGAUGCAUUUGUUUUGUUCAUUUACAUUCUCAUGAACGACACAAACUUUCUGCACAAUCUGUUAAGUGCGCCUUUAUGGGAUAUAGUGUUUCGCACAAAGGUUAUGUUUGCUAUGAUCCAUGUUCUAACAGAUUUUGUAUUUCUCGUAAUGUUGUUUUCUUUGAGCAACAAUCUUUCUUUCCUACUCAUGUUCAACAUUUGCCUGAAAUUAGUAUUCUUCCAUGUUUUGAUGACUUGACUUCUCAUCUUGAAAGAUUCAAGCCUGGACUCAUAUAUGAGAGACGUCGACCAAAUAGGCCUCUUCCUAAAGUUGACCUCACAUCUGAUCUUGUCCAGCCACUCUCUUCUAAGCCUGAGUUGGUAUCAAAUACUGAUGUACCUCCUAAUCCGGGUCCUCAACGAUCUACCCUUAUUUCUCGACCGCCUGAUAGAUAUGGUUCUUUUCAUUCAUUUGCCACUACAUUGACAUCUAUACCUAGUUAUUCAGAAGCAGCUAAACAUAAAUGUUGGCGGAAGACUAUGGAUGAAGAACUUUGGACGCUUCAGGAUAAUCAUACUUGGGAUAUUGUUCAUUGUCCACCUAAUGUCAAGGCUAUUGGUUGCAAGUGGGUCUAUUCUAUUAAGCUUGCUCUUAUGGAACUCUGGAUCGUUAUAAAGCUC
rnacentral:lncRNA from 1 species